UACGGGGGGGGCAAGCGUUGUUCGGAAUUACUGGGCGUAAAGGGCUCGUAGGCGGCCAACUAAGUCAAACGUGAAAUCCCUCGGCUUAACCGGGGAACUGCGUCUGAUACUGGAUGGCUUGAGAUUGGGAGAGGGAUGCGGAAUUCCAGGUGUAGCGGUGAAAUGCGUAGAUAUCUGGAGGAACACCGGUGGCGAAGGCGACAUCCUGGACCGGUAUUGACGCUGAGGCGCGAAAGCCAGGGGAGCAAACGGG
rnacentral:rRNA from 1 species